rnacentral:misc_RNA from 1 species
AAAAGAAAAGAAAAGAAAAAAAGAGCUAAAGAAAGACAAGGAGACAAGAAAGACAGAAAGCAUCAAAAGGAUAAAGAGUAGAAAAAGCAUGUCUUUCCUGUCAAGCUGUGAGAUCUAAAUUAACAUUUUAUAUUCCCACGUAAAUAUGAAAUCUAAUUGAUUUUGUAUGUUGUGCACUCAGAGAGAAGAAAAGUAAAAAAGAAAGAAAGAAAGAUUUUUAGAGAGAGUGAAAGCUUUAACUAUCUUAGAGUAUGAAGUGAUCUUUGGUAAUUGUAAUGAAGCACUUUACAAUUACAAAAAUAUAUAUUUUCUAAUUUUUACCAAAAACUUUGGUUUGUCUAAAAUCAUUCUUACGCAUUCUCACAUUCUUUACACUUUAUGAACAAAGAAAAGAGAAAGAAAAAGAAAGGUAAAGAAAUUCUUUGAGAAUAUCAACUAGAAAAAGUAAUGGAAAUAAAGCCAAGAAAAUUUGUCAAAUCAACUAGUUUGAUUGGUUUUCUUACACUUAAAUGCAGAGAGUGAGAGAUCUGAGUUGUAUCUUGUUCAUAUAUUUAUUAUAAGAUUAUUUAUUUUUACAUUACAAAAA